GUUGUCCUUCAGUGGUAGAGUGCUUGCCUAGCAUGUGUGAGGCACUGGGUUCGAGUCUCAGGACCACA
rnacentral:tRNA from 1 species